AAUGGAUGGAAAUCUGAUCCAGCCAUGCCGCGUGCAGGAAGACUGCCCUAUGGGUUGUAAACUGCUUUUGUAUGGGAGCAAUAAGCCCUUCGUGAAGGGUGAUGAGAGUACCAUACGAAUAAGCAUCGGCUAACUCCGUGCCAGCAGCCGCGGUAAUACGGAGGAUGCGAGCGUUAUCCGGAUUUAUUGGGUUNAAAGGGUGCGUAGGCGGUUGGAUAAGUCAGCGGUGAAAGUUUUCUGCUUAACAGGGAAAAUGCCGUUGAUACUGUCUGGCUAGAAUAUGGUUGCUGUGAGUGGAAUGUGUGGUGUAGCGGUGAAAUGCUUAGGUAUCACGCAGAACUCCGAUUGCGAAGGCAGCUUACUAAGCUACAACUGACACUGAAGCACGAAAGCGUGGGGAUCAAA
rnacentral:rRNA from 1 species